CCAACCACCUUGCCAUAACACUCAAACACAAUUGCGCAAAAGUUUUCUCCAGUCAUGAAUGAUAUCCUAUAAAUUGCUUUUAUUGGAAAUUUGAUUGGUUUUAAAACUAUUUGGAUUGGAUCAUGGCAACAACUAUUUCAGAAAUCAGAGAUUCAAUGUGCUGGUGGGAAUAUCUCUUAUGAUGAACUCCUCAAGUGUGUUCAGCUAUACUGCCAGAUAUACUUCAACAAGCUGAUGUCUGCUGAUGAAAAUGAGGAAGAGCUGCAGCUCUUAAAGGGCUGAUGGAAAGGAGAAAAGGUGAAGGAAAGAGUCUGUGACUUCUACCGCAGAGUAUGGAAGAGAUUAAAGUCCUGCACUACCCUUGGCUGUGUGAGCUCUAACUAAAUCACUAGACUCAAAUGAGACUGGACCACCACCACAAUGACCAAUUCAGUUCACUCUGGUCUGAGCUCCAGUUCAGUCUGGUUACAGAUUUUUGCGUAAUAUUUUUGUCAAUUGAAACUUCUAAAAAGUUUAUUGUAAU
rnacentral:lncRNA from 1 species